CCUACGGGAGGCAGCAGUGAGGAAUAUUGGUCAAUGGACGAGAGUCUGAACCAGCCAAGUAGCGUGAAGGAUGACUGCCCUAUGGGUUGUAAACUUCUUUUAUAUGGGAAUAAAACGUUCCACGUGUCGGCUUUUGUAUGUACCCUAUGAAUAAGGAUCGGCCAACCCCGUGCCCGCAGCCGCGGUAAUACGGAAGGUCCGGUCGUUAACCGGAUUUAUUGGGUUUAACGGGUGCGUAGGCGGAUUUUUAAGUCAGCGGUAAAAUGUCCGGGCUCAACCCGGGCCGGCCGUUGAAACUGGGGAUCUUGAGUGGGCGAGAAGUAUGCGGAAUGCGUGGUGUAGCGGUGAAAUGCAUAGAUAUCACGCAGAACUCCGAUUGCGAAGGCAGCAUACCGGCGCCCGACUGACGCUGAGGCACGAAAGCGUGGGGAUCGAACAGGAUUAGAUACCCUUGUAGUC
rnacentral:rRNA from 1 species